GCUGAGAAUCACAAUAUUGGUGUUUUUUAUCAAAUAAAACGUUUUAACCCACCGAAUUUUCUUAUUAAUGUUGCAGUUUAAAAACACAUAUACAUUAUUUACACAAAAGACAAAACAUGUUUUUGAGAAUAUAUCCAUGAAAAAGCCAGUUGGGACUGGACUCAUUAACCUAUAACUGCAGCUAAAGGCAACUCAAAAAAGCCUGAAUCUUUCAGUCAAAAUGCUGUCUGCAAGAAUUUGCAAGUCAUUAGUUUCCAGGUUAGAAGUGCGAGAUAACUGGUUUUCUGUCAUCACUGUUCUCAGAAAAGUAUACGUAUAAAGAGUCCCUGAUAAAGUUCCUGUUUUGCUUAGAGAGGGAAGUUGGUUGAUAGAGUGAAUGCAACAGCAGUUUUCUGCUCUCAGAAGCAUUUGCAUCAAGGCCAGGAGAUUAAACGUGUGGGUUGGGAACUGCGGAGAGUGUGUUGUCUCGCUUGGGGCUCCCGGUGCCAGAGUUCCAGCUUUCAUCGCACAGGGUGAAAGAUUUUUCCUGGACGACUCCGUCUAUGUGGCUACAGGCCUCAUGUUCAGCUUAUUAGUGCUGGUGUGCAGCUGCCUGCUGCAGAGCGAACUUGUGGCCACAGAGGGGCACCGUGGGCCCAACCGCCAUGUCUUCUAUGCAGUUCACAUGGAUGGAGGCAGCAAAGCCGCCAGAGCUUUGGCUGAGCAGCACAAGCUGGAGUUCAUACAGCGGGUUGGCAGCCUCAAAGGUCUUUACACCCUGAAAGACAGCAGGGGGCGCUCAAACAGAACCUGCUUUGAGGAUGGACUUGCUUCUGCAGUGGGGGUAAGUGUUUUGAACUGGCACAAUAAUUAGAGUAAAGGCUUUCUUAAACUUGAAAUAAUCUUCCAAACGUGAAUAUCUGGGGGGUGGGGGGGUGGUGGGGGUGAGCGUGGCUCUGACUUGGCCUGUCUGUGUAACACAGCGGGAAAUAGAUUUGUAACUAAGGCAAAUCAGAGUGUUCAGCUACUUAGGCAUGACUGCUUGAUACAUUUUAACGUGGCCGUGUCAUGGGGAAUUCACACUCUGGCAUCAGUUCUGAUUUUACCCAGCGUGUGUAUGCAAAUGCCGGUUCAUUUGGCUGAUGUUGCUGUUUUAAUCAGGUUUAGUGUUGAUUAGUGAGAAGGAUGCAAAAAAAAAAAGUACCGUGUGGCGAGUCCUGGUUAAAAGUUGUCAUUUAUGUGCCUGUUCCAAACACUGUCUUGUUAGUCUGCUUUCUACGCUGCCACCUUCAACAAACCAUUCUUCAUCACCCUUUGAGUUCACAAGGCAGUUGCCAGGGCAACAGUCCCCUAAAGAGACAUCCCACCACGACUGGGGUUGAAAG
rnacentral:lncRNA from 1 species